UACAGAGGGGGCAAGCGUUGUUCGGAAUUACUGGGCGUAAAGGGCGCGUAGGUGGCCUUCUAAGUUGAACGUGAAAUCCCUGGGCUCAACCCAGGAACUGCGUCCAAGACUGGGAGGCUUGAAUCCGGGAGAGGGAUGCGGAAUUCCAGGUGUAGCGGUGAAAUGCGUAGAUAUCUGGAGGAACACCGGUGGCGAAGGCGGCAUCCUGGACCGGUAUUGACACUGAGGCGCGAAAGCUGGGGGAGCAAACGGG
rnacentral:rRNA from 1 species